UUCCCCAUUGGCUGGAUGGCAGUGUGGCAGCUCAGGCCACCUGGGUCGGGGUUGCACGGACCACAGUGCAGGGAAGAAUCUGGAGAUUCCUUCUGGUCCGAUUGAGUCCGAGUCUGUAUGUUAAAGGCCUUGCCUAGUCUCUGGGGCAGCCUUAAGCCACGGCCUUAAAAUUACCCUCAUGGCUCCAAUAUUCUGCUCUCCCUAGAUGAUAGAUGCAUAAACUGGAAUAAAUCAGAUGUAGCUUCAUUGAGUCAAUGGGGCCAGACCCCCAGCUGGUGUCAAUGGGCAUAGCUCCAUUGAGUCCAUGGGGCCAGAC